rnacentral:rRNA from 1 species
AACGAACGCUGGCGGCGUGCUUAACACAUGCAAGUCGAACGCGAAAGUUUUCUUCGGAAAGCGAGUAGAGUGGCGCACGGGUGAGUAACGCGUAAGUAAUCUACCCUGGUAUCUGGGAUAACCAACCGAAAGGUUGGCUAAUACCGGAUACGCUGGUAACAGGAANANGUGGCCUCUUCAUNGAAAGCUACUGUACCAGGAGGAGCUUGCGUACCAUGAGCUAGUUGGUAGGGUAAUAGCCUACCAAGGCGACGAUGGUACGGGUCUGAGAGGAUGAUCCGCCACACUGGAACUGGAACACGGACCAGACUCCUACGGGAGGCAGCAGUGAGGAAUAUUGCGCAAUGGGGGAAACCCUGACGCAGCGACGCCGCGUGGAUGAUGAAGGCCUUCGGGUCGUAAAAUCCUGUCAGAUGGAAAGAAGUGUAUAGAUGUUAAUAGCAUUUAUAUUUGACGGUACCAUCAAAGGAAGCACCGGCUAACUCCGUGCCAGCAGCCGCGGUAAUACGGAGGGUGCAAGCGUUGUUCGGAAUUACUGGGCGUAAAGCGCGCGUAGGCGGUUUUAUAAGUCAGAUGUGAAAGUCCACGGCUCAACCGUGGAAGUGCAUUUGAAACUGUAUUACUUGAGUACUGGAGGGGGUGGUGGAAUUCCCGGUGUAGAGGUGAAAUUCGUAGAUAUCGGGAGGAAUACCGGUGGCGAAGGCGACCACCUGGCCAGAUACUGACGCUGAGGUGCGAAAGCGUGGGGAGCAAACAGGAUUAGAUACCUGGUAGUCCACGCCGUAAACGAUGUCAACUAGGUGUUGGGGCGGUUAAUCGUCUCAUUGCCGGAGCUAACGCAUAAGUG